ACUUAGUGGCGGACGGGUGAGUAACGCGUGGGUAACCUGCCUUACACAGGGGGAUAACACUUAGAAAUAGGUGCUAAUACCGCAUAAGCGCACAGUCCCGCAUGGGACAGAGUGAAAAACAUUAGUGGUGUAAGAUGGACCCGCGUCUGAUUAGCUUGUUGGCGGGGUAACGGCCCACCAAGGCGACGAUCAGUAGCCGGCCUGAGAGGGCGACCGGCCACAUUGGGACUGAGACACGGCCCAAACUCCUACGGGAGGCAGCAGUGGGGAAUAUUGCACAAUGGGGGGAACCCUGAUGCAGCGACGCCGCGUGAGUGAAGAAGUAUUUCGGUAUGUAAAGCUCUAUCAGCAGGGAAGAAGAUGACGGUACCUGACUAAGAAGCCCCGGCUAACUACGUGCCAGCAGCCGCGGUAAUACGUAGGGGGCAAGCGUUAUCCGGAUUUACUGGGUGUAAAGGGAGCGUAGACGGCAGGGCAAGUCUGGAGUGAAAGCCCGGGGCCCAACCCCGGGACUGCUUUGGAAACUGCCAUGCUGGAGUGCUGGAGAGGUAAGCGGAAUUCCUAGUGUAGCGGUGAAAUGCGUAGAUAUUAGGAGGAACACCAGUGGCGAAGGCGGCUUACUGGACAGUAACUGACGUUGAGGCUCGAAAGCGUGGGGAGCAAACAGGAUUAGAUACCCUGGUAGUCCACGCCGUANACGAUGAAUGCUAGGUGUCGGUGGGCAAAGCNCAUCGGUGCCGCCGCAAACGCAGUAAGCAUUCCACCUGGGGAGUACGUUCGCAAGAAUGAAACUCAAAGGAAUUGAC
rnacentral:rRNA from 1 species